GAGUUUGAUCCUGGCUCAGGACGAACGCUGGCGGCGUGCUUCACACAUGCAAGUCGAACGGAAAGGCCCGCUUGCGGGUGCUCGAGUGGCGAACGGGUGAGUAACACGUGGGUAACCUGCCCCCAUCUCUGGGAUAACCGUUGGAAACGGCGGCUAAUACCGGAUACGACCUGGCUCCGCAUGGUGCUGGGUGGAAAGUUUUUGCGGUUGGGGAGGGGCCCGCGGCCUAUCAGCUGGUUGGUGCGGUGAUGGCGCACCAAGGCUUUGACGGGUAGCCGGCCUGAGAGGGCGGUCGGUCACAUUGGGACUGAGAUACGGCCCAGACUCCUACGGGAGGCAGCAGUGGGGAAUUUUGCACAAUGGGCGGAAGCCUGAUGCAGCGACGCCGCGUGAGGGAUGACGGCUUUCGGGUUGUAAACCUCUUUUAUCCACCACGAAGGCCCCGUAUUCGCGGGGUUGACGGUAGUGGUUGAAUAAGCGCCGGCUAACUACGUGCCAGCAGCCGCGGUAAGACGUAGGGCGCGAGCGUUGUCCGGAUUUAUUGGGCGUAAAGGGCUCAUAGGCGGCCCGCUGCGUCUGCCGUGAAAGGCCUCGGCUUAACCGGGGUUUUGCGGUGGAUACGGGCGGGCUUGAGGCAAGUAGGGGAAACUGGAAUUCUACGUGUAGCGGUGAAAUGCGCAGAUAUGUGGAGGAACACCGGUGGCGAAGGCGGGUUUCUGGGCUUGUUCUGACGCUGAGGAGCGAAAGCGUGGGGAGCGAACAGGAUUAGAUACCCUGGUAGUCCAUGCUGUAAACGGUGGGCGCUAGGUGUGGGGCCACGUUGGUUGGUUCUGUGCCGUAGCUAACGCAUUAAGCGCCCCGCCUGGGGAGUACGGCCGCAAGGCUAAAACUCAAAGGAAUUGACGGGGGCCCGCACAAGCGGCGGAGCAUGCGGAUUAAUUCGAUGCAACGCGAAGAACCUUACCUGGGUUUGACAUCACCCGGAAACCCUCAGAGAUGGGGGCCUCUUCGGACUGGGUGACAGGUGGUGCAUGGCUGUCGUCAGCUCGUGUCGUGAGAUGUUGGGUUAAGUCCCGCAACGAGCGCAACCCUUAUCCCGUGUUGCCAGCAUUGAGUUGGGGACUCGCGGGAGACUGCCGGGGUUAACUCGGAGGAAGGUGGGGAUGAGGUCAAGUCAUCAUGCCCCUUAUGUCCAGGGCUUCACGCAUGCUACAUUGGCCGGUACAGCGGGUUGCGAUACCGUGAGGUGGAGCGAAUCUCUGUAAAGCCGGUCUUGGUUCGGAUUCGAGUCUGCAACUCGACUCGAUGAAGGUGGAGUCGCUAGUAAUCGCAGAUCAGCAACGCUGCGGUGAAUGCGUUCCCGGGCCUUGUACACACCGCCCGUCACGUCAUGAAAGUUGGCAACACCCGAAGCCUGCGGCCUAACCGGUUUACCGGAGGGAGUGGUCGAAGGUGGGGCUGGCGAUUAGGACGAAGUCGUAACAAGGUAGCCGUACCGGAAGGUGCGGCUGGAUCACCUCCUUUCU
rnacentral:rRNA from 1 species